CCCUUAGAUGUUCUGGACCGCACGCGCGCUACACUGUUCGACGCAGCGAGUCUUAACCUUGACCGAAAGGUUUGGGUAAUCUUCAGCAAAGUCGAACGUGAUGGGGAUCGAUCAUUGCAAUUAUUGAUCGUGAACGAGGAAUUCCUAGUAAGUGCAAGUCAUCAGCUUGCGCUGAUUACGUCCCUGCCCUUUGUACACACCGCCCGUCGCUACUACCGAUUGAAUGGUUUAGUGAGAUCUCUGGAUUGACGCUGGCUAGGGGGCGACCCUUGGCCAGACUGUUGAGAAACUGCUCAAACUUGAUCAUUUAGAGGAAGUAAAAGUCGUAACA
rnacentral:rRNA from 1 species